GCUCUGUUAAUCGAGAAAAAAAAAUAUCGAUUCAUAUAUAAACCCAAACAGCUAGAUUGAUUAAAUACUGAAAGCUAGAUUCGCUGGUCGAUUAUUAACUAACUUACCCAAUUCCGGCGAACCUCUUGGAGGGCUCGCCAAGGGAGUAAUUCUUGAAGUAGAAGAACCGGCUGAUUGUGUAGAGGGAUCCGAGGGUAGAUGCGAUGAGAGGAUGGUGGAUACCGGAGACUAAUAACGUCGCGAAGAACGUCGGCAUCAUCUCGAGUGAGUUUUGGUGUCCUCUCUGGACACAGUUGAAGGGCUUGGCGUUCUUGUUCUCGGAUUCUAUGGCGUACAUGGUCGGAUACAUGACGUUGUACUUCUUCCUUGCUUGACCCACCGAUAUAGCCAUCCAGAAGUUCAUUAUCAUGUAGACAACGAACACGGCGACCACGAAUCCAUACUCCUUUGGAAGCAGAUCAACCACCGUUUCCAUCCUCGCCUAUUUCGCCGGAGCUUUUUAUUCUUUUUUCGCCGGAAUGCUUGUUGGAGUGGCUUUUUUUUAUCCUUUUCUAGUGUCUUCACGUCAGUCCUAUAUAGGCAUAUAGCGUAUUUAGAAGGGUGUAGAUGUGAAUUUAUAUUUUCAGUUGGAUUUUUUAGCAAAAAUAAAAAAGAACAGUCAAUGCCACGUCACUUUCACUUACCCACCAUAUGACGUCACUUUCACUUAUCCAUGUCAUUUUUUAUAACGGUCAAGAGUUGUGCUUUGACAAUACUAACGAAUUGAAUGACAUUAUAUAACUCAUUCCAUUUUGGUGUUCGGAACAUGGGACCAUCGAGUCUAACCCUAACCCAACAAGCUCGUACGGCCCAGUGGACCAGACCGAGCAGACUCAAUAACGUCUCAUGUGUUAAUAAUGGUUGUACGAUAAUCUUGACCAUUAACUUUUUAUCUAAUAGUUGAAAUAAUGUACUGCACAAUAUACUAACACAUGUAUGACGAAAAAAAUGUACAACAACAGACAGUAACUCAUGUACGACGAAAUGUCGAUUUAAUGGUCAGAAUUUUUUGACGUAUUAAAAUUCGACGUGCAGAAAACUUACCAUGUAUAAACUAUAAAUAUCCUUAAAGGUGAUACUUUUAAAAGAUCUUUUAUCAUUUGUACGAAAUAUAAUAUAUCAGAGAGAGAUUGUGACACAUCCGGAGAGCGUGUCGACCGACGUUGGUCGGAGAGAGCGCCGGGGAAGGGAGAGAACGAGAGAGACGGUAAAAUUAUAAAACUCGUUUGUAUUUAACUCUUAUCGUCGAGUCCCCCCGCACGAACUUCUUUAAUAGUGAUAUGUGGAAGAUGUUAUGGAUCCUUGCUCCUGCUGGCAAUUGUAGACGGACUGCGACUUCUCCGAUCUUCUCGAUCUGUGAUUGUGUAGGGCCCAAAAAACCUCUGCUCCAGCUUGUUAGAUUUCCUCGCCGCGACUGAGCCUUGUUUGUACUUAUGUAGCCUUACCAACACUUCCUCCCCGACGUCAAAUCAAAUGUCCGAACGUUUGAGAUCAGCCUUCUUUUUCAUACCUUCACUAGCCCUGUUUAGAUUCUGCUUUGCGAGUAACAGGGCUUCCUCCCGUUCCUUUAUUGUAUUGAAGGCUUCGUUGUCCGCUAGUGGGUUGUCCUCACAGUGGAACAACGUUGGUGGUGACCGACCGUAUACCGGUUCAAAGGGUGUCAUGCCCGUCGAAGAAUGCUUACUUGUGUUGUACCAUAACUCAGCAAGGUAGAGAAUUUUCGCCCAGUCCCUCGGUCGGUCAAUAGCAAAGCACCUCAGAUAUUGUUGUAAACACCGGUCGACCACCUCCGACUGUCCGUCGGUCUGUGGGCGGUAUGCUAAACUAUGCAACAGCUUUGUUCCGUGCUGCCUGAAUAAGGACUUUCAGAAGCUGCUCAAAAAUAUUGGAUCGCGAUCAGAGAGCAACGAUUUCGGGAACCCAUGUAACCGAACAAUUUCCUUGGAGAAUAGGUCAGUCACUAAAGUGGCAGUGAAAGGCAUCGUCAUGGGAAUAAAAUGACUAGCCUUGCUGAGCCUAUCAACAACUACCAAUAUUGCGGACUUCCCAGACGAUGGCGGCAGGUGAGUUAUAAAGUCCAUUGUCAAUUCUUCCUAGACGGCCGACGGCGUGGGCAGAGGUUGUAGGAGUCCGACCGGCUUCGAGUUAGUGGGCUUAACGACUUGACAUAUCCCGCAUUCCCUGAUCCAUUGUCUAACCUCCUCCCCCAUUCCUUGCAGUAGAAACUCCUCGACUGGACAACGUCGCCUUCUGACCUGAGUGCCCCCCAAUCGGAGUGACGUGAGUUUCAGACCUUAAAUACCCAUUUGGUAUUUAUAUAUGAUGUUAUCGGUCUAAGAUCGUGGGAUUAAAUUCCAUGUAUCAUUUCUUUCAUGAGCAUCGAAUUCUAGCUUCAUGGCAUCAUGGCAGUUCCGCCCUCUAAUUAUUAAGGUGAACGACGGCUUUUUUUUUUUGAGACAAAACCAACUGAUAAUAUAGAUUCCGAAACAAAAAAAAGAGUGUGAUCACAUGCGAUCCACCCCACACCCUCUGCAUUGUUCCAACCCCGGAUCUUACGAUCGUUUGGGCCUUCACAACCUUUGGGGAACUGACUCGAUGUUUUCUAAAACGAUCUAUGUCUCAUCGUUCUUACGUAGUGGGCCUAGGGCAAUGAGGAGUGUAAAAACUCUGGUGUGCCCAAGACAUCUUUUCCUUUGCCAAGAGAAAACUCUGCCAUUACCUUUCGGUCCACUACACAUAAGUGAUUCUACAUAUCAUUUCUACUUUAAUAAUAGAGUCUAUCCCCUGGGAGAUAGAGCUCUAUAUGGAUAUGACUUUAUAGGUCAUUCCAUUUACCAACUUGUUUCUUUCACAGCUUUUGGUGAGACAAAGUUCUAUUUUUAGUUGAACCCCAUCCCACCAUAGGCCUCAGUUUUGAUUCUCUUAAUACAAGUUCCUACUUAAAUAAAAUUACAGACUCAAUAGCAAUUGUUUAAAAUUAAAUAAGUUUCACGUUCGCGCCGACUGGGCGCCUCCGAACCAUACGUCCAUCCAUCUCUGUUCUCUUCGCGUUCCUAUUGCCUUGUACCUGUCUGGCUUGAAGGUCAUAGUUAUGUCUUGAACUGUCCUCCUCCCUAUCUCCUGUGGGCUCGUGCGUCUGUCCUCGUGCACUCUCCUAUUCCUUUCAGUCCAGAUUCCCCAAACUAUCGCUGCCGUGUACGCCCACGUCAGCCCCCAGCAUGGUGAGUUUUUCGUCCUUGCAUUUUCUUAUGCCAUGACCUGUUCUAAAAAUAGAACUGCACGUGUAAUCAAGCUGGGUUUUGCAUUUAAAAUAUAUAUUCAUAGAUCCUUGGAGAACUUGCAUUUGAAGAAGACAUGGUCUUGAGAUUCUCAUGGCCCCCCACAUAAAAUGCAAUCUGUGUUCUCUCCUCCCAUCCUACCCGCCCAGUCAGCCCUCAUGGAUAUUUUGGACCAUCUGACCCUCCAGAGUGUUAUGCUGCAUUUCCUUAUGCUAGUCAUCCAAAUCCACUCCUAGUAGGGGUCUGUUGGUUUUGUAUUCCUAAUGGAAUCCCAAGCGCUCUUAAAUGUUAGAGAAGUUCAUUUUCCUACCCAGGUGCAAUUAUAGUCAGCCUCACACUUUAGCGUCUCCUCUAUUACAUCCUUCUUAUCAACUAUUUCAGCCCAUAGGGCUGAAUCCAAGUUUGGAUGCUUCUCUAUAUCCCUAAGGCAACUGUGAUACAAGCUAUAGCUUAGGGAUUAGGAACGACGGCUUAUGAUAAGACUGUCCUUAGUUAUUUCGAACCAAUGACAAAAUACUAAAAAAUAUUAGAGACGUGAUGACGCAAGACCGAUAAGAUGGUUGUUCCUGUUACAAUCGAUCGAAAAUCUCUCUCUUUAGUCUAGUGUUUACUGUAGACUCAUUAAUCACCUACUGUCUACCCUGAGGUAUGCAGUAUUAAUAACGUUGCUGCCCUGCUAAUAGGGUCGGGUUUGAGCUUGGGUCGUAGUCGGGUCAAACUCGAUCGUGUCCUGAUCCGAGCCAAAUCAUAAUCGGGCUUGGGUCGUAGGUUGAGUCACUGUUGUUAUCUUUAGGCUACUUUCAGUGGGUGAGUGUAUCAUCAUGACGGUUUUUUGAAAAGUCAUCGCUAAUUAACAAGGUUAGCGGUUCAUGGGAGAACUGUCGGCGUCCUUGUAGAAUCAUGAGGUGAGUGGUGAUUAUUUAACCUAAUGUCAUUGUUGUAGUAGUUAAUAAAUGCAAAGGUAGUUUAGUAAUUUCAUAAAUAAUUAAAAGUAAAAAACAUACUUAAUGUCAAAGCAAAUAUUUAGUACAUUAUUUUCAAAGCAAAAGCUAUCCAUAGAGCAUGGACCAUGGAUAAUAAUACUAAUUUAUUAAUUUUAAUAAUAUCGUCGGAAUCACGGAAGGUGGAUGGAUGCCGGCGAAUCAUCAGAUGAUCGGAAUCAAGUUUCUCUUUUCAAAAGAUGAACCGCAAAGGAACCGGUGCAUACAAUCAGUCCCAUUAACGACGGGAAGCUUACCGCGCUGUUAAUCAAGAAAAAAAAUAUCGAUUCAUAUAUAAACCCAAACGGAUUGAUUAUAUUAAAUACUGAUAGCUAGAUUCGCUAGUCGAUUAUCAAGUAACUUACCCAAUUCCAGCGAACCUCUUGGAGGGCUCGCCAAGGGAGUAAUUCUUGAAGUAGAAGAACCGGCUGAUUGUGUAGAGGGAUCCGAGGGUAGAUGCGAUGAGAGGAUGGUGGAUACCGGAGACUAAUAACGUCGCGAAGAACGUCGGCAUCAUCUCGAGUGAGUUUUGGUGUCCUCUCUGGACACAGUUGAAGGGCUUGGCGUUCUUGUUCUCGGAUUCUAUGGCGUACAUGGUCGGAUACAUGACGUUGUACUUCUUCCUUGCUUGACCCACCGAUAUAGCCAUCCAGAAGUUCAUUAUCAUGUAGACGAUGAACACGGCGACCACGUAUCCGUACUCCUUUGGAAGCAUAUCAACGACCGUUGCCAUCCUCGCCGAUUUCGCCGGAGUUUCUUAUUCUUUUCUUCGCCGGAAUGCUUGGAGCAGCGCACUUUUUUAUCCUCUUCUGUCGACGAAUCGUGUCCUCACGCUAGUCCUAUAUAUAUUGUGUUUGGAGGGGUGUGGAUGUGAAUUUAUAUUUUUCGUUAGGGGGUUUUUAGCAACAAAACUAAACUAAAGAACAUUCAAUGCCAC
rnacentral:lncRNA from 1 species